rnacentral:lncRNA from 1 species
AGCGAGUGUAUGUUCUAUAGCUUCCAUGCUACAGUUUUUUCUUUUUCUUCUGUUUCAGAUUAUCCCGAGAAGCUCACGAACAACUGUGUUGCUUGAAUUGCAUGAUUUGCAUCAGUUGUAAGACAACCAAAAUUACUUGUAUAUCUAUAAAAACUGUAGUUCUACCUUCCCAUAGUAAUAAUAAGUAUAUUGUAAUGCUCAUAUAUACCAAUUACUAUUUUAUAACAUGAUGAAUCAUUCCCUUUGAUGUACUUUAGGAAUAGCUCUGUUUUACUGUCAUCUCUGCCCAGGAAAAGGGGAAAAAGACUACAAGUAAAAGCAUUGGGUCCACGACAUGUUGCCUCAAAAUUCCACAUCCGCCGUCGAUGCACAUUUCCUCGGAAUCGGCUGUAGCUUCCUACCUGUCCUCGACCCGAGGACUUCUCCACUGGCGGUGCCAAAAUUCUACAGAAAAGCCAAGCAUCCUUAUAGGUUCGCUGUUAUGCCUUCUGUGGACCUGAAGAGAGCGAGAAAUAUUCCCAUCGAGCAGUACGGUAUGUAGGCUAUUCCUAUCUUUUUUCCCCUUGCUUCAUGUUUCUAAUAUCUUAGCAAAGCAUGAACUUACAUGUAGUCUGUGCCUUGGACCUAAUAAAAUAUUUCAGAAUUAAAAAGUAGAAAUCGUAAUUUAGUUUACUUUACAUUUUGCCAGUACAUGCAUGAGGUGUUAGGAGGUAAAUGGAGAACUAUAUCGACAACAUCUUGCUGUAUGUUACUUAGGAGUUAAUGUAAUUUAACAAGUUACUCAAAGAAUUAAUUGAACGGCAUACUGCGUGCAUUUGACAAGUCUGCAAGAUGCACCUUCAAAUUAUUGCUGAAAAAAGAAUUGCAUGAUUACAAAAAUAUUACACAGGAUAUAUCUAAUGUCAUUAUUAAUUUAACCAAUCUCAAUACUAUGAUACAUAAGGUCGAGGUUAAAGAACUCUGAUAGGUUAAUUAAGGAUUAAUGGAACGACACACUACAUGAUAUUUCUUAUGUUAUUGAUAGUCAUCUAUAAAUAUCAUACUUCCUUUCUUCCAGAAUACAUGAGGUUUUUAGUAUAGACAGUCUCUAGGAUGCAGCCUGGCCAUUAUUCUAUACAUGAUUUUUUCGUGCAAGCUCCGUACCUUCUUGCAGCGGCCGGCUAGAUGUGCAUGCAUGGGUGCCGCCACAUAUAUAUCUUGGUCUGCGGCUCCACACAACUGUGUUUACAUGCAUUAUUUUUGACAAAAGGAAGGUGUUGCAGUUUCAUUGUGCAUGUAUAUAAAAGAUGUGCCGUGUUUACAAAGUUUUCUCAGUUUCAAACUGAAGUGUUGAUUUUCCAUGAACUCUAUUGCAGCAAGGU